GACGAACGCUGGCGGCGUGCCUAAUACAUGCAAGUCGAGCGAAGUUUUUCUGGUUCUUGCACUAGAAAAACUUAGCGGCGAACGGGUGAGUAACACGUAAAGAACCUGCCUCAUAGACUGGGACAACUAUUGGAAACGAUAGCUAAUACCGGAUAACAGUAUUUCUCGCAUGAGAGAUAUUUAAAAGUUGGUUAUGCUAACACUAUGAGAUGGCUUUGCGGUGCAUUAGCUAGUUGGUGGGGUAAAGGCCCACCAAGUCGACGAUGCAUAGCCGACCGGAGAGGGUGAUCGGCCACACGGGGACUGAGACACGGCCCUGACUACUGAGGGAGGGAGCAGUAGGGAAUCUUCCGCAAUGGGCGAGAGCCUGACGGAGCAACGCCACGUGAGUGAAAAAGGAGUUCGGUGCGUAAAGCUCUGUUGUUAGGGAAGAAUGGAUAUGUAGUAACUAUACGUGUGAGAGACGGUACCUAGCCAGAAAGCCACGGCUAACUACGUG
rnacentral:rRNA from 1 species